AGCAAAGAAGCCAUUAUGAUUAUCACCUCAAGCUAGCUCUUUGGUCGGUACCAACAUGAAUACUUGUCAAAUCUUCAACAAAAAAAAAUAAUAUAAUAACUCUUCAUGUAUUACCCAUUCAUUAUUAAUUAUUAAUUGAUUGAGCAUCAUAUCCUUGUAUUGUUCAAUAUAUUCAUCAGAAAAUGGGUCACCUGCCCAGAAAGUCUUAAAAUCCAGUUCUAAUGGACGAGCAAAAUAUUGAGUUGGGUGAGAUGGACGAAAAUUAAUUAAACCUAAAACAAACCAAAAUAUCCCUAGUCUUUGUAUAUUACAAUCCACCUAGAAAUCAUCGAUGAUACCGUUACUUCAUUUUCUCCACCAGAAAAACCCAUCGACAUCACCGCCAUCAUCAACCUCUUCUUUUCUCAUCCAUCUGUUCUUUCUCCUCACCAUUAACUACGACCUCCACCACCAUCAACAGUAACUACAACCACCGCCACCGAUAGUAACAACUACCACCACCAUCUUUCUCCACCGCCACAAACACCAAUAUCAGCAUCAUGCACCAUCAUCAACGGUUUUAUCUUUCUUUAAAUGAACUGAUUCAUCGAAACUAGGAGAAUUAAGAUUUUAUAUUCCACCAAUUUCACAAGCCGAGAAGGACGCCUAUUCCAACUACAACCUAGUAAUCAAGGACGUUGUGGAUUCUGCACUUCACUUUUGCGUGAACACAUAUAUAUAACAGACCAACGGUUGACAACAUUGUUUUUGCUAAAAUAUCAGAGGAUGAGCCUAUUGACUUAGAAAAACCUGUCGAGGAAGGUGAAGUUACUGAUGCUAUUAAGGCGCUAGGUGCUGAGAAGGCACCGGGAAAAGAUGGAUUUUCUAUUAUUUUCUUUGGCAGAUUUUGGACUUUCCUAAAGCAAGAUGUGAUGGAUACUAUUCAAGAGUUUCAAGAUGCUGGAAAAAUAGAUAGUCGACAUAAUGCAAAUCUAGUCACUUUGAUUCCAAAGGAGGAGUAUGUAAUUUUUUUUUUGGAAAAUAUGCUGGAUGAAACCAGAUACAUGUUUAAAAACAUAUUACUAUUUGUCAUAAUAUGAAGGAUGCAACCAGUUUCAUCCAUGUUUAAA